UCUGCACCCUGGAAAGCAAAAUCCAAGUCUGCCGUGAUGAGUUUACUCGGGUCAGCCGGGGCGCUUCGCGUGCUCGUAACAAUUUGUUCGGAGUGUGCUAACAGGACAGAAUUGCAGCAAUCCUUGUGAGGGGGAGGUCUGGAGGGAUUUGGUCAUGGAUGCUGCCAAAUGUGGGUCACAUCCCAUAUUUUUCUCCACAGAAUUUAUCAUCUGGAUAGACUUUGUCAACAGAUCUUUCUUAGGGUAGAGUACACCUGGACUGGUGAAGAGACAUGGAGCUGGAUGCUGGCACUUGGUGUUUGGAGUUUACUCAGCAGUGGGAGAAGGC